rnacentral:lncRNA from 1 species
UCGUAUAGAGGAUUUAAAGCCAGGCAGUUGGCUAACAAAGUGAGAGCAGCGCGAGUAAUUCAAGCCUGGUUUCGAGGCCACAAAGCACGAAAGGAUUACGCAUCUAUGGUCGAAGCUGCGUGUAUUAUUAAGAAUUGCUUCAGAACAAAACGGCAGAGGACCUGGUUUUUGAAAAUGAAGUUCUGCACGCUUACAAUUCAAAGAAGGUGGAGAGCAACCCUUGCAGCAAGAAUGGUUCGGCUUCAGUUUCUGGCAACCAAGAACGCAGUAGUUAAGAUUCAGUUGGCAUACAGACAGUACAGGGCUAGAAGACUUUUAAGAAAGUUUUCAGAACAGAAACAGAAGAAGAGACUGCUUUAUUUUAUAGCAGCUGCAUAUCAUCACGUUUCUGCAAUUAAAAUUCAAAGGGCUUACAGGAUGCACCUCGCCUAUAAGCUAGCAGAAAACCACAUCUCAUCCAUUCUUGUAAUACAGAAAUGGUUCCAAGCAAAAAUGCAACAGAAAAGGUUUCAAAGAGAUUAUCAAAGAAUCAUUCAAUGUCAACGUAUGAUCCGAGGCUGGCUAAAACGCAGAAAUGAUGCAGCAACCCUAAUCCAACGAAAUGUACGAAGAUUCCUCGCCUGCAGACGCAUUGUGGAGAGGAUAUUCUUGGAGAAAAAAUAAUGACACAGCAAAAACUAAAGCUUUAAGGCUCAGUUUGGAAAAGGCUAACAGAAAGAGCAGAGAAGAAAACAAAUUGUGCAACAGAACCUCGAUCGCUAUUGAAUACCUUCUAAAAUACAAACAUAUUUCUUACAUUCUUGCAGCAUUAAAGCAUCUAGAGGUGGUAACCAGGCUCUCCCCUCUCUGUUGUGAAAAUAUGGCCCGGAGCAGAGCGAUCUUCACUAUUUUCGUUCUGAUUCGAAGCUGCAACCGGAGCGUUCCAUGUAUGGAUGUGAUCAGAUAUUCAGUUCAAGUUCUACUUAAUGUUUCAAAGUAUGAAAGAACCACUCAGGCAGUAUACGAAGUAGAUAAUUCUAUAGAUACAUUGCUAGACCUGCUGCAAACAUACAGAGGGAAAGCUGGGGACAAAAUUUCGGAAAAAGGAGGAAGUAUUUUCACGAAGACUUGUUGUUUGUUGGCCAUUCUUUCAAAGGACUCAAAGAGAGCUUUGGAAAUCCGAAGCAUGCCCAGAGUCGUUACAUGCAUUCAAAGCCUCUAUAAGCUUACGGUUCGCAAGUGCAGAAUGGAUGCAGAGAGAACGCUUGUGAAACAGAAGACAAACACCGUAAUUGGUGGAAUUUCCUUUAUUCCGAUAACUCCUCUAAGAAUAAAGACAGUUUCGAGAAUUAAACCGGACUGGGUUUUGAGAAAAGAUAACACGCAAGAAAUUGUGGAUCCUCUCCAAGCAAUUGUGAUGGUGAUGGAUACGCUCGGCAUUGCCUGCUACUGAAAUGUAAAUUAAUGUAGUUGUACAGUAGGUAUGCAGCAGGCAGCUAAAGGAUUUUAAAACAAAACAAAUAAUUGUCAAACACGUUUUUGUAAUUAUCUUUGUUGUACUGUAUACAGCUUCUGAAAUCCUGCCAAAAUCAAUUGUACAAUAAAAUCAUAAGUCCUUGUCUAUUAUACUGUUGCACUGACAUGUUGUUCUUGUACAGCUUUGAAUCUUACCAAUAUCGUGGUAUUUCCCACUCUGACUGAGCGUUGUGUAGUUGUUCGUACGCAAUGGUUAUGUGGGCCUGUCUGAUCUGGAAAGGUGUGGGAAGGACAGAGAGCGUGCCGACUGUAAAACUGGCUCGUGAUCUCCCGAGGCUUGAGAUGGCUUUCUAGCGAGCUACGAGGGAUCAAGC